GUGGCUAUAGCGUAGUUGGUUAACGCGCCAGAUUGUGGUUCUGGAGAUCGAGGGUUCGAGUCCCUCUAGCCACCCUCCA
rnacentral:tRNA from 1 species